AGACGAGGAGGAUGCAGAAGAAGAGACAAGGAGGAUGAUGAAGAGACGAGGAGGAUGCAGAUGCAAAGAAGAGGAGGAUGCAAAUGGAAAGACGAGGAGGAUGCAGAUAGAAAGACAAGAAAGAUGCAGAUG